rnacentral:lncRNA from 1 species
CACCCAAGUCACAGCUGACUCAUGCCAUUGCUCUUUGUAAUGAGAUUCUGAACCUGCCACAGGACCAGCUCCUUUGGUGAGCGAAGUGUGUGAGCGAAGGAAAGAUUCUUGGGUAGAACUUCAUAAAGUCUGUCAUAAGAUCAGCCCCAGAGGAGGAGACUUUUCAGAUCCCAUCCCUCAUACACAUUCAGAAGGCCAAGGAAACACCCUCAGGAUUGAACUAUGAUAAAGAAGGCUUUUGGACUUGGACCUCAUCCAAGGAGCUGGCUGCCUGCACUUUCACAGACCGUCAGCUUCAUCCCCAGGCCCCAAAUCCUGAAUUUGCCGUGUCAAUGAAAAACCAUCAUCAGCUUUUCUUUACAUUAAAAACUGAUUGUGAUCAUAGCAGUUUUUCCUGUUUUCUGGGAUCACUGCUGCGAAGAGGAAAAGUCACCAGAGGAUAAAAUGACACACACGCAAACUCUUCUGUGGCUGAAAUUCCCCUCACUCUUCCUGCCUCUAACCGAAAAGGAGGAUACAGACCAAGGAGCACUUCAUGAAGGUAGUCGCCUCCCUGCCCUGCUGUUUUUCACCUUCAGGAAGAAUCACUCCCUCCCAAGUAGGACCUCUCCCUGGUCACUAUAAUCCCAUGAUUUGUAAUGUGGGCUUCAUUCCGCAAAAGCCCAGGGCUGGUGUUAUCUAGGAGUGAUGGCAGUCAUUUCCAGAUCAUGAGCAGUCGCACAGAUAAGGCAAAGGGCAACUCCUGCCUAGCAUGUGUGACCCAAGAGAUGACAGAGAAGAGAAGGGAGGAAUGCACUCCUUCACCUGGUCCCUCAGCACUGAGCCAGCCUCCCAUUUGUACAUGGAAGGA